CAGUAGCCGCGGGAAUACGAAGGGGGCUAGCGUUGUUCGGAAUUACUGGGCGUAAAGGGCGCGUAGGCGGCCAUUCAAGUUAGAUGUGAAAGCCCUGGGCUCAACCUAGGAAUUGCAUUUGAUACUGUUUGGCUUGAGUUCGGGAGAGGUGAGUGGAAUUCCGAGUGUAGAGGUGAAAUUUGUAGAUAUUCGGAAGAACACCAGUGGCGAAGGCGGCUCACUGGCUCAUUCUAGACGCUGAGGUGCGAAAGCGUGGGGAGCAAACAGGAUUAGAUACCCCCGUAGUCCCUGUCUCUUAUAC
rnacentral:rRNA from 1 species